rnacentral:rRNA from 1 species
UACGUAGGGUGCGAGCGUUGUCCGGAAUUACUGGGCGUAAAGAGCUCGUAGGUGGUUUGUCGCGUUGUUCGUGAAAACUCACAGCUCAACUGUGGACGUGCGGGCGAUACGGGCAGACUAGAGUACUGCAGGGGAGACUGGAAUUCCUGGUGUAGCGGUGGAAUGCGCAGAUAUCAGGAGGAACACCGGUGGCGAAGGCGGGUCUCUGGGCAGUAACUGACGCUGAGGAGCGAAAGCGUGGGGAGCGAACAGG